GAUUCUGAGUUUUAGUCAGGUGGACAAGUAAAAUCAUGUCCUGUCAACUUGCAGUGUCUCACUACGCACUAGGAUGAGUUAUAACAACCUCAACUUAAAGGGAAAUUUAAAACUUUAAAUAAGGUGUUCAUAUAACAACAAAACAUAGGUUGUUUCAAUUUUUUUGCCUCAUGCGCAUGUGCCAGAAUCUCUACGUCAUAAUGACGUACUACUUUAACGAAUUUGAACAAGACGCGCCAGCGCCAUUUUCUGCACGAGAGGACGAGAUCGCUACACGAGUUGCUGAUGGGAGAAAAAAGAAGACGAAGGAGCUCUUAUUUGAACGACUACAGAUGUAUUUUUAUAACAACAAACCAAAGGAUGAGGACUGCAGCAUUGCUUGGGCUGCCGUGAUACAUGCGAGAGACUCCAUCUAAAUUCAUGAAGAUAUGCGAGCCCAGUGACCAUGAAGAGGAUGUGAUCAAGGGCGUGGUGAUCGGAAUCCUAGUGGUUGUGGAAAAUGCGGAGCCUUUUCCAGAAUUCUACAAUGACGUUGCCCUGGUGAUUGAGGAAGAAGUGGUGAUGCGUCACCCUGAGUG